AUGGGAACGCGAAGAACCUUACCUAGACUUGACAUCUCCUGAAUAGUGUAGAGAUACAUGAAGCCCUUCGGGGCAGGAAGACAGGUGGUGCAUGGUUGUCGUCAGCUCGUGUCGUGAGAUGUUGGGUUAAGUCCCGCAACGAGCGCAACCCUUAUCAUUAGUUGCUACCAUUUAGUUGAGCACUCUAGUGAGACUGCCCGGGUUAACCGGGAGGAAGGCGGGGAUGACGUCAAAUCAUCAUGCCCCUUAUGUCUAGGGCUACACACGUGCUACAAUGGUGAGAACAACGAGAUGCAAUACCGCGAGGUGGAGCAAAAACUUCAAAACUCAUCUCAGUUCGGAUUGUAGGCUGAAACUCGCCUACAUGAAGUUGGAGUUGCUAGUAAUCGCGAAUCAGAAUGUCGCGGUGAAUACGUUCCCGGGUCUUGUACACACCG
rnacentral:rRNA from 1 species